rnacentral:rRNA from 1 species
CACGCUGUAAACGAUGGAUACUAGGUGUGGGCACUAACGUGUCCGUGCCGGCGCAAACGCAAUAAGUAUCCCACCUGGGGAGUACGACCGCAAGGUUGAAACUCAAAGAAAUUGACGGGGGCCCGCACAAGCAGUGGAGUAUGUGGUUUAAUUCGACGCAACGCGAAGAACCUUACCAAGGCUUGACAUACAACUGAAUACGUAAGAGAUUACGUAGUCCUUCGGGACAGUUGAACAGGUGA